rnacentral:rRNA from 1 species
GACGAACGCUGGCGGCGUGCUUAACACAUGCAAGUCGAACGAUGAAGCUGGAGCUUGCUCCGGUGGAUUAAUGGCGAACGGGUGAGUAACACGUGAGUAAUCUGCCCUUGACUCUGGGAUAACUGCGGGAAACUGUAGCUAAUACCGGAUACGACACCUUCGGGCAUCCGAUGGGUGUGGAAAGAAUUUCGGUCAAGGAUGAACUCGCGGCCUUUCAGCUAGUUGGUGAGGUAAUGGCUCACCAAGGCGACGACGGGUAGCCGGCCUGAGAGGGUGACCGGCCACACUGGGACUGAGACACGGCCCAGACUCCUACGGGAGGCAGCAGUGGGGAAUAUUGCACAAUGGGCGAAAGCCUGAUGCAGCAACGCCGCGUGAGGGAUGAAGGCCUUCGGGUUGUAAACCUCUUUUAGUUGGGAAGAAGCGAAAGUGACGGUACCAACAGAAAAAGCACCGGCUAACUACGUGCCAGCCGCCGCAGUAA